rnacentral:rRNA from 1 species
GACGAAGGUGGCAAGCGUUACUCGGAAUUACUAGGCGUAAAGCGCGAGCAGGCGGUUCGGCAAGUCUGUUGUGAAAGCCCCGGGCUCAACCCGGGGAGGUCAAUGGAAACUGCCGGACUUGAAUACGGGAGAGGUCACUGGAAUUCCUGGUGUAGCGGUGAAAUGCGUAGAUAUCAGGAGGAACACCGAAGGCGAAAGCAGGUGACUGGACCGUUAUUGACGCUGAGGCGCGAAAGCCAGGGGAGCAAACGGG